rfam:Pteropus alecto contig89181, whole genome shotgun sequence.
GUCUACGGCUAUGCUACCCUAAACAAGCCCAAUCCCGUCUGAUCUUGGAAGCUAAGCAGGGUCAGACCUGGUUAGUACUUGGAUGGCAGAUCACAUAGGAAGACCAGGUGCUGUAGGCA